rnacentral:rRNA from 2 species
GAAUUGACGGGGGCCCGCACAAGCGGUGGAGCAUGUGGUUUAAUUCGAUGCAACGCGAAGAACCUUACCUGGUCUUGACAUCCACGGAAGUUUUCAGAGAUGAGAAUGUGCCUUCGGGAACCGUGAGACAGGUGCUGCAUGGCUGUCGUCAGCUCGUGUUGUGAAAUGUUGGGUUAAGUCCCGCAACGAGCGCAACCCUUAUCCUUUGUUGCCAGCGGUCCGGCCGGGAACUCAAAGGAGACUGCCAGUGAUAAACUGGAGGAAGGUGGGGAUGACGUCAAGUCAUCAUGGCCCUUACGACCAGGGCUACACACGUGCUACAAUGGCGCAUACAAAGAGAAGCGACCUCGCGAGAGCAAGCGGACCUCAUAAAGUGCGUCGUAGUCCGGAUUGGAGUCUGCAACUCGACUCCAUGAAGUCGGAAUCGCUAGUAAUCGUGGAUCAGAAUGCCACGGUGAAUACGUUCCCGGGCCUUGUACACACCGCCCGUCACACCAUGGGAGUGGGUUGCAAAAGAAGUAGGUAGCUUAACCUUCGGGAGGGCGCUUACCACUUUGUGAUUCAUGACUGGGGUGAAGUCGUAACAAGGUAACCGUAGGGGAACCUGCGGUUGGA